rnacentral:tRNA from 1 species
UACAGCAGGCCUAAAAAUUAUGGACGCUUUAAACUAUGUAAAAGUAAGAAAUAAUACUGUAUGUUUGGC